AUUGAACGCUGGCGGCAGGCUUAACACAUGCAAGUCGAACGAGCGGCGGACGGGUGAGUAAUGUAUGGGGAUCUGCCUGAUGGCGGGGGAUAACUACUGGAAACGGUAGCUAAUACCGCAUACCAUCAGAUGAACCCAUAUGGGAUUAGCUUGUAGGUGAGGUAACGGCUCACCUAGGCGACGAUCCCUAGCUGGUCUGAGAGGAUGAUCAGCCACACGGGGACUGAGACACGUCCCAGACUCCUACGGUAGGCAGCAGUGGGGAAUAUUGCACAAUGGGCGAAAGCCUGAUGCAGCCAUGCCGCGUGUAUGAAGAAGGCCUUCGGGUUGUAAAGUACUUUCAGUCGGGAGGCGUUACCCGCAGAAGAAGCACCGGCUAACUCCGUGCCAGCAGCCGCGGUAAUUC
rnacentral:rRNA from 1 species